ACGCGUGUAGCUCAGUUGAUAGAGCAUACGCUUUACAAAUGCGUAGGCGGCGUCCAUGCGUG
rnacentral:tRNA from 1 species